UGAACGCUGGCGGCGUGCCUAAUACAUGCAAGUCGAACGAGUUCUGAUUAUUGAAAGGUGCUUGCAUCUUGAUUUUAAUUUUGAACGAGUGGCGGACGGGUGAGUAACACGUGGGUAACCUGCCCUUAAGUGGGGGAUAACAUUUGGAAACAGAUGCUAAUACCGCAUAAAUCCAAGAACCGCAUGGUUCUUGGCUGAAAGAUGGCGUAAGCUAUCGCUUUUGGAUGGACCCGCGGCGUAUUAGCUAGUUGGUGAGGUAACGGCUCACCAAGGCAAUGAUACGUAGCCGAACUGAGAGGUUGAUCGGCCACAUUGGGACUGAGACACGGCCCAAACUCCUACGGGAGGCAGCAGUAGGGAAUCUUCCACAAUGGACGCAAGUCUGAUGGAGCAACGCCGCGUGAGUGAAGAAGGCUUUCGGGUCGUAAAACUCUGUUGUUGGAGAAGAAUGGUCGGCAGAGUAACUGUUGUCGGCGUGACGGUAUCCAACCAGAAAGCCACGGCUAACUACGUGCCAGCAGCCGCGGUAAUACGGAGGUGGCAAGCGUUAUCCGGAUUUAUUGGGCGUAAAGCGAACGCAGGCGGUUUUUUAAGUCUGAUGUGAAAGCCCUCGGCUUAACCGAGGAAGUGCAUCGGAAACUGGGAAACUUGAGUGCAGAAGAGGACAGUGGAACUCCAUGUGUAGCGGUGAAAUGCGUAGAUAUAUGGAAGAACACCAGUGGCGAAGGCGGCUGUCUGGUCUGUAACUGACGCUGAGGCUCGAAAGCAUGGGUAGCGAACAGGAUUAGAUACCCUGGUAGUCCAUGCCGUAAACGAUGAAUGCUAGGUGUUGGAGGGUUUCCGCCCUUCAGUGCCGCAGCUAACGCAUUAAGCAUUCCGCCUGGGGAGUACGACCGCAAGGUUGAAACUCAAAGGAAUUGACGGGGGCCCGCACAAGCGGUGGAGCAUGUGGUUUAAUUCGAAGCAACGCGAAGAACCUUACCAGGUCUUGACAUCUUUUGAUCACCUGAGAGAUCAGGUUUCCCCUUCGGGGGCAAAAUGACAGGUGGUGCAUGGUUGUCGUCAGCUCGUGUCGUGAGAUGUUGGGUUAAGUCCCGCAACGAGCGCAACCCUUAUGACUAGUUGCCAGCAUUUAGUUGGGCACUCUAGUAAGACUGCCGGUGACAAACCGGAGGAAGGUGGGGAUGACGUCAAAUCAUCAUGCCCCUUAUGACCUGGGCUACACACGUGCUACAAUGGAUGGUACAACGAGUUGCGAGACCGCGAGGUCAAGCUAAUCUCUUAAAGCCAUUCUCAGUUCGGACUGUAGGCUGCAACUCGCCUACACGAAGUCGGAAUCGCUAGUAAUCGCGGAUCAGCACGCCGCGGUGAAUACGUUCCCGGGCCUUGUACACACCGCCCGUCACACCAUGAGAGUUUGUAACACCCGAAGCCGGUGGCGUAACCCUUUUAGGGAGCGAGCCGUCUAAGGUGGGAC
rnacentral:rRNA from 1 species